UACGUAGGGCGCAAGCGUUGUCCGGAAUUAUUGGGCGUAAAGAGCUCGUAGGCGGCCAGUUGCGUCUGCUGUGAAAUCCCGGGGCUCAACCCCGGGCGUGCAGUGGAUACGGGCUGGCUAGAGGCAGGCAGGGGAGAACGGAAUUCCCGGUGUAGCGGUGAAAUGCGCAGAUAUCGGGAGGAACACCGGUGGCGAAGGCGGUUCUCUGGGCAGUAACUGACGCUGAGGAGCGAAAGCGUGGGGAGCGAACAGG
rnacentral:rRNA from 1 species